ACGGGAGGCAGCAGUGGGGAAUUUUCCGCAAUGGGCGAAAGCCUGACGGAGCAACGCCGCGUGAGGGAUGAAGGCCUCUGGGCUGUAAACCUCUUUUAUCAAGGAAGAAGAUCUGACGGUACUUGAUGAAUAAGCCACGGCUAAUUCCGUGCCAGCAGCCGCGGUAAUACGGGAGUGGCAAGCGUUGUCCGGAAUUAUUGGGCGUAAAGCGUCCGCAGGCGGCCCUUCAAGUCUGCUGUUAAAAAGUGGAGCUUAACUCCAUCAUGGCAGUGGAAACUGAGGGGCUUGAGUGUGGUAGGGGCAGAGGGAAUUCCCGGUGUAGCGGUGAAAUGUGUAGAUAUCGGGAAGAACACCAGUGGCGAAGGCGCUCUGCUGGGCCAUCACUGGCGCUCAUGGACGAAAGCCAGGGGAGCGAAAGGGAUUAGAUACCCCUGUAGUCCUGGCCGUAAACGAUGAACACUAGGUGUCGGGGGAAUCGACCCCCUCGGUGUCGUAGCCAACGCGUUAAGUGUUCCGCCUGGGGAGUACGCACGCAAGUGUGAAACUCAAAUGAA
rnacentral:rRNA from 1 species